rnacentral:rRNA from 1 species
GUGGGGAAUCUUCCGCAAUGGACGAAAGUCUGACGGAGCAACGCCGCGUGAGUGAAGAAGGUUUUCGGAUCGUAAAGCUCUUUCGUUAGGGACGAACGUGCUCUUUGUGAAUAAUGAGGAGUAAUGACGGUACCUAAAUAAGAAGCCACGGCUAACUACGUGCCAGCAGCCGCGGUAAUACGUAGGUGGCAAGCGUUGUCCGGAAUUAUUGGGCGUAAAGCGCGCGCAGGCGGGAUAUCAAGUCUGUCUUAAAAGUGCGAGGCUCAACCUCGUGAGGGGACAGAAACUGGUAUUCUUGAGUGUCGGAGAGGAAAGUGGAAUUCCAAGUGUAGCGGUGAAAUGCGUAGAGAUUUGGAAGAACACCAGUGGCGAAGGCGACUUUCUGGACGAUGUCUGACGCUGAGGCGCGAAAGCUAGGGGAGCGAACGGGAUUAGAAACCCUGGUAGUCC